UAGUAAUGCUUCUUUUUAAAUAGAUGUAGUUAAAGUUUCAAAUACUGUCCAAAAUGUAUCCUGACAUGAUAAAUGUUACUUUUGAUAACUGUAAUAAAAGGUAAACUCACCAAAGAAAAGUCUUCUGAGCUGCAGCAGCUCUGCCAAGCAGCCACAAAAGUAAAGGUGUUUUUGUGACGACUCGAAGGUCUGGGACUGUGAUGGAUCAGUCUUUGCUCUCUGUGCGUGUUCGCCUGACGAUGGAGGAGAAGCAGCUCCGGCCUUGUUGAGGUCCCAUUAACAUGGCGGCCUGGUUCUUGUGGAUGAUCUCAAUCUAGUGGUGGAAAAAAGGAAAGUUUGCCGUUUCAGCGUGGAUUGUUGUGACCCUCCUCCACCCCUGUCUCCUCUAGUCCUCGUCAGUGUGUCAGUUCUUCAGAUGUCCAACCCUUCCUCACUUCCUGUAUCCUUCCAUCACCACCACCACAACCAGUGUCUAGACUCUAAGGGGUUAUCCUAUCCUGCAGUUGGCUUCACCACCACUUUGGUGAUUAGAUCCCAUAAAGACAUCUUCAAAGACACCGCAUGUUUAACAUCCUUUCUAAAUCUUGUUAAAUAAGUUAUUGUUUAAGUCUCUCCUGAUUGAUAUCUGUUAGUAGAGAUUAUCACAGUGGCGGAAACUUUUGUAAAACCUUCUCAAUCUUGUCAGUAUUUAAUAAAUAAGACUCUACUUCAUGUUAUGAACAACUUGUACAUGCUGGCCAAUAAA